rnacentral:rRNA from 1 species
GACGAACGCUGGCGGCGUGCUUAACACAUGCAAGUCGAACGGAAAGGCCCUGCUUUUGUGGGGUGCUCGAUUGGCGAACGGGUGAGUAACACGUGAGUAACCUGCCCUUGACUUUGGGAUAACUUCAGGAAACUGGGGCUAAUACCGGAUAGGAGCUCCUGCUGCAUGGUGGGCGUUGGAAAGUUUCGGCGGUUGGGGAUGGACUCGCGGCUUAUCAGCUUGUUGGUGGGGUAGUGGCUUACCAAGGCUUUGACGGGUAGCCGGCCUGAGAGGGUGACCGGCCACAUUGGGACUGAGAUACGGACCAGAAUCCUACGGGAGGCAGCAGUGGGGAAUAUUGCAGAAUGGGCGGAAGCCUGAUGCAGAAACGCCGCGUGCGGGAUGACGGCCUUCGGGUUGUAAACCGCUUUCGCCUGUGACGAAGAGUGAGUGACGGUAAUGGGUAAAGAAGCACCGGCUAACUACGUG